GACGAACGCUGGCGGCGUGCUUACCACAUGCAAGUCGAACGAAGUGGCGAACGGGUGAGUAACGCGUAAUCAACCUGCCCUUCAGAGGGGGACAACAGUUGGAAACGACUGCUAAUACCCCAUACUGAAGGCGGGGCUUGCGUCUGACUAGCUCGUUGGAGGGGUAACGGCCCACCAAGGCGAUGAUCAGUAGCCGGGCUGAGAGGAUGAACGGCCAAAUUGGGAAUGAGACACGGCCCAGACUCCUACGGGAGGCAGCAGGGGGGAAUCUUCCGCAAUGGACGAAAGUCUGACGGAGCAACGCUGCGUGAGGGAUGACGGCCUUCGGGUUGGAAAGCUCUGUUAAUCGGGACGCGGUACCGGAAUAGAAAGCCACGGCUAACUACGUGCCAGCAGCCGCGGUAAUAC
rnacentral:rRNA from 1 species